UACGGAAGGCAGCAGUGGGGAAUAUUGGACAAUGGGCGCAAGCCUGAUCCAGCCAUGCCGCGUGUGUGAAGAAGGCCUUCGGGUUGUAAAGCACUUUUGUCCGGAAAGAAAAGCUUAGGGUUAAUAACCUUGAGUCAUGACGGUACCGGAAGAAUAAGCACCGGCUAACUUCGUGCCAGCAGCCGCGGUAAUACGAAGGGUGCAAGCGUUACUCGGAAUUACUGGGCGUAAAGCGUGCGUAGGUGGUUUGUUAAGUCUGAUGUGAAAGCCCUGGGCUCAACCUGGGAAUGGCAUUGGAAACUGGCUUACUAGAGUGCGGUAGAGGGGUGUGGAAUUCCCGGUGUAGCAGUGAAAUGCGUAGAUAUCGGGAGGAACAUCUGUGGCGAAGGCGACACCCUGGACCAGGCACUGACACUGAGGCACGAAAGCGUGGGGAGCAAACAGGGAUUAGAUACC
rnacentral:rRNA from 1 species